rnacentral:lncRNA from 1 species
CCACGACCCACGGCCUCUUGCACUGUGCCUGGACCCAGCCAGCCCGGUGGCUUCAGACACUCCCGCCGUUUGAGAGAAUGUCAACUUUUCACAUGUCUUCAUCACUAUGUUGUGUUCCAAAUGCCGCCUCUGACUUUGCGAAGCCUCGGUGUGCGGGACUCUGAGGGCAGCUCCUAGGUGCUCCCGCCCACGGCUGGCACAGCUGCCGCCACCCUCCUGCCACCCGGCCCAGCCAGGCCCAGCUAGUGUUGUUGACCCGUGCUGGAGGGGCUGGCGUGUGGGCCUGUGUCCCCUGGGGGCUUGGAAGUGUCCUAUCGGGUGGCAGAUAGCAGGGGUUGGGUCAGCAGGGCCCCCCUACAGCACCUCCUGUCUUCUUGGCUUUGCUGACUCCUUGAGGGUCUUGGUGGGUCUCAGUGUUCCUUCUCCUUCCUGCUUCCUGUCUGCUGACUUGGAUAGCAGGCCAUCUUGUCCCCCUCCCUCUUAGUCCCCAAGCACUUAGUCCCCUGUCUGCAGUCUCCUUUAUUCUCUCACCUCUGUCCUUUGUCCCUGGUCUUGUCUCUUCAGCCUCCAGCUCCGCUAGAGCUCACCUUCACCAUCCA